UACGGGGGGGGCAAGCGUUGUUCGGAAUUACUGGGCGUAAAGGGCUCGUAGGUGGCCAACUAAGUCAGACGUGAAAUCCCUCAGCUUAACUGGGGAACUGCGUCUGAUACUGGAUGGCUUGAGUUUGGGAGAGGGAUGCGGAAUUCCUGGUGUAGCGGUGAAAUGCGCAGAUAUCAGGAGGAACACCGGUGGCGAAGGCGGGUCUCUGGGCCGAUACUGACGCUGAGGAGCGAAAGCGUGGGGAGCGAACAGG
rnacentral:rRNA from 1 species